rnacentral:rRNA from 1 species
AACGAACGCUGGCGGCAGGCCUAACACAUGCAAGUCGAGCGGACCCUUCGGGGUUAGCGGCGGACGGGUGAGUAAGCCGUGGGAAGGUGCCCUUUGCUUCGAAAUAGCCCUGGGAAACUGGUAGUAUUACGGGAUACGCCCUUUUGGGGAAAGAUUUAUCGGAGAAGGAUCGGCCCGCGUUGGAUUAGGUAGUUGGUGGGGUAAUGGCCUACCAAGCCGACGAUCCAUAGCUGGUUUGAGAGGAUGAUCAGCCACACUGGGACUGAGACACGGCCCAGACUCCUACGGGAGGCAGCAGUGGGGAAUCUUAGACAAUGGGGGAAACCCUGAUCUAGCCAUGCCGCGUGAGCGAUGAAGGCCUUAGGGUUGUAAAGCUCUUUCACCGGGGAAGAUAAUGACGGUACCCGGAGAAGAAGCCCCGGCUAACUCCGUG